GCCGGGCAUGGUGGCGCGUGCCUGUAAUCCUAGCUACUCAGGAGGCUGAGGCAGGAGAAUCGCUUGAACCCGGGAGGCAGAGGUUGCAGUGAGCCAAGAUCACACCACUGCACUCCAGCCUGGGUGACAGAGCGAGGCUCCGUCUCAA
rnacentral:SRP_RNA from 1 species